GAGUUUGAUCGUGGCUCAGAGUGAACGCUGGCGGCAGGCCUAACACAUGCAAGUCGAACGGUAACAGGUCCUUCGGGAUGCUGACGAGUGGCGGACGGGUGAGGAAUGCAUCGGAAUCUGCCUGUUUGUGGGGGAUAACGCAUGGAAACGUGCGCUAAUACCGCAUACGUCCUUUUGCCGGGAGAUGAUUGGAGAAAGUGGGGGACCUUCGGGCCUCACGCGAACAGAUGAGCCGAUGUCGGAUUAGCUAGUUGGUAGGGUAAAAGCCUACCAAGGCGACGAUCCGUAGCUGGUCUGAGAGGAUGAUCAGCCACACUGGGACUGAGACACGGCCCAGACUCCUGCGGGAGGCAGCAGUGGGGAAUAUUGGACAAUGGGGGCAACCCUGAUCCAGCCAUACCGCGUGGGUGAAGAAGGCCUUCUGGGUUGUAAAGCCCUUUCGUUGGGGAAGAAAAACAACGGGUUAAUACCCCGUUGGUAUGACGGUACCCAAAGAAUAAGCACCGGCUAACUACGUGCCAGCAGCCGCGGUAAUACGUAGGGUGCGAGCGUUAAUCGGAAUUACUGGGCGUAAAGGGUGCGCAGGCGGCCUGCCAAGUCUGAUGUGAAAGCCCUGGGCUCAACCUGGGAACGGCAUUGGAAACUGGUGGGCUGGAGUACGGUAGAGGGUGGUGGAAUUCCUGGUGUAGCAGUGAAAUGCGUAGAGAUCAGGAGGAACAUCCGUGGCGAAGGCGGCCACCUGGACCAGUACUGACGCUGAGGCACGAAAGCGUGGGGAGCAAACAGGAUUAGAUACCCUGGUAGUCCACGCCCUAAACGAUGCGAACUGGAUGUUGGGGGCAUAUUGGCCUUCAGUGUCGAAGCUAACGCGUUAAGUUCGCCGCCUGGGGAGUACGGUCGCAAGACUGAAACUCAAAGGAAUUGACGGGGGCCCGCACAAGCGGUGGAGUAUGUGGUUUAAUUCGAUGCAACGCGUAGAACCUUACCUGGCCUUGACAUGCACGGGAGUCUUUAGAGAU
rnacentral:rRNA from 1 species